rnacentral:rRNA from 1 species
UACGGAGGGAGCUAGCGUUGUUCGGAUAUACUGGGCGUAAAGCGCACGUAGCGGCGCCGUAAGUCAGGGGUGAAAUCCCGGGGCUCAACCUCGGAACUGCCUUUGAUACAGCAAGUCUUGAGUUCGAGAGAGGUGGGUGGAAUUCCUAGUGUAGAGGUGAAAUUCGUAGAUAUUAGGAAGAACACCGGUGGCGAAGGCGGCCCACUGGCUCGACACUGACGCUGAGGUGCGAAAGCGUGGGGGAGCAAACAGG